CUACGGAGGCAGCAGUGGGGAAUAUUGCACAAUGGGCGAAAGCCUGAUGCAGCGACGCCGCGUGAGGGAUGACGGCCUUCGGGUUGUAAACCUCUUUCAGCAGGGAAGAAGCGAAAGUGACGGUACCUGCAGAAGAAGCGCCGGCUAACUACGUGCCAGCAGCCGCGGUAAUACGUAGGGCGCAAGCGUUGUCCGGAAUUAUUGGGCGUAAAGAGCUCGUAGGCGGUCUGUCGCGUCGGAUGUGAAAGCCCGGGGCUUAACCCCGGGUCUGCAUUCGAUACGGGCAGACUAGAGUGUGGUAGGGGAGAUCGGAAUUCCUGGUGUAGCGGUGAAAUGCGCAGAUAUCAGGAGGAACACCGGUGGCGAAGGCGGAUCUCUGGGCCAUUACUGACGCUGAGGAGCGAAAGCGUGGGGAGCGAACAGGAUUAGAUACCCUGGUAGUCCACGCCGUAAACGGUGGGAACUAGGUGUUGGCGACAUUCCACGUCGUCGGUGCCGCAGCUAACGCAUUAAGUUCCCCGCCUGGGGAGUACGGCCGCAAGGCUAAAACUCAAAGGAAU
rnacentral:rRNA from 1 species